UUUAAUACAUUAAAAAAAAAAUUCUUUUUUUUUUUGUUUUUCUUCUUUUCUUUUUUUUUUCGCGAAAAUGAAACUAAAGAACGAAAAUCGUUGACAAUUAGAACGACAUUCAAAUCGUUAUCUGAGAUUAUCGGGCAUAUAUCAUCAUUUUCACCAUGGCCGAGUCUCAACAGCGAUUGUGGUUCAGAUAAUCGCGAGUCUGUUCAUUGAAAACGCUAAAUCUCAUUUACCAAAUUGAAGAUUUUCUUGGACCAAUUCAGAGGUUUUAUUCUACAAUUGUCUUUCUCAUUGCACGUUUCUAUUUCUGAUUGUAUGAAUUAGUUUUUAGUUAAGGUUUAGAGAUUAGGGUUCUUUAAUUUUGGAAAUUAGGGUUCUUCGAAAUCAGUGUAUUUCUUUGUUCGUAGGCAUGAUUAAAUUUAGGAUUAAGAAAAUUAACCGUGAUUGAAGAUGAGUUUAGGCAUAUAUUGUUUGUUUUCAUCGGUCUUGUCCAUUGUUUGAGAGUGUGGCUAUUAGAUAUCAUGUUUUUUAGAUAUGAGUUUAACCUUGAACUGAUCUUCUUGUAUCUGGUUCAAAAGAUGGAUGACCCUAUGUACGUCCUCUAAACUUGGAUGUGAAGAUCUUUUCGGUUCUUUUGUUAUUUAAAGCCAUCUUGACAGUUGUCUGGUAUUUAUACAGCUCUACUGUCAUGGUUAAAGGAGCUCAUUUAUCUCCUCUUUCAAAACCAAUCAGACGUCGCAAAAUUUUAUUUUUGCUCAUUUGUGACUCUUCCCUUCUAAGUUAUUUCUCCUAUCUUCUCUCCUUAUUGGCUACAUGUUUUUAGGCUGCUUCAUUAAGCAUUACCUGUGUGCUUUAUCUCAAGGACGAGAUCACAAUUGCCACAGCUGGAGCACCUGAUAAGUACUUGCACAACAUUUAGUGGGUUCAUAUAAAGCUAGUGAUACUCUUUAAAGCAUAUAGGAUUCUUGUUUACAUCUUUUGUUUUUUUUUCUGCCAUUCUUUUAAGUUCUUUUUGCUCAAGCGUUUCCACAGUCAGAUCCAACAAAUGCUAAGGUAAGCUAAACUCCUUUUUCCUAGACUGAGAUAACAUCACAUGUUUGUUCGGAAUGGGCUUAAACCCUCAAUCUGACUGAAAGGAUGAAUUAGGCUACUCUUUAUCUUGUUUUUUUUAAUAAAAAAAUAUUUGUUCAGGAAAAAAGAUUACAUGGUAUAAUAUCUUUGUCUCAGGACUCAAGUGGAACUCUUCUCACAGCGUCAUGUAAGGACAAUGGGUUUGAUUUUUAUGACUAUAACCUCUCUUAGUGAGACAGUUUUUGUCAAACCUGAUUCCAGAUUUAAUAUAACAAUUUCUCUCUAUUUCAACAAUCUGUUGCUGAAUCUAUUUAUACAACACGCUGCAGCUUGACAAAGAAUCUGAACAAUCUUUCUCUGGCUGCCGAAUAGAUUUUUUUUUCAUAAAAUGCGUUAUCCACAACUUUUACUUUAAUCACAUAACUGAUUUGCUUAUACAACAUAUUUCACCUGCUCACUCACUAUCCAAAUUCCUCUGCAGACAAUGAUUAGUCCUGAUGGUGAAUAUGUUUUGAGCGGUUCAAACGAUGGAAACGCUUACAGAUGACAGGUCAAUAAGCCUCACGUAGAUCCUACACUCUUAAAAGGCCACGACUUUGAAGUUACUACAGUAGAUUGAUUGGGAAAGUUGCAACAACUUCAGAUGAUUUUAUGGUACAACUGUGGAACAUAGAGAAAAACCGUUGUUCGAAUGCAAACUCAACAACAUUAUUUGCUCUCGAAUUUUGGACUUUCUUUUUUACUCAUAGGCCUAACCUUGAAUUUUUCUUGGCUUCUCUUCAGGCCUUAGCCUGCAUGCCAUAAUAUUAGCUCCUCAUGGAGUCUAAGCCCGCAUGCCAUAAUAUAUAAGGGAAGUCGAUCGACACACAUCCGUAAUCCAUCCAGUUUGGUUCGCGGAUGUUAUAAUAGUCAACAAGAAACCUACAGUCCAGACGCCAAUCCGUAUGACAGUUUAUAGUCAACAAGAAACCUACAGUCCAGACGCCAAUCCGUAUGACAGUUUUUCAUCAAGUAUUAAAGUUAGUGCAUCCCAAGUCCCUGUUUUUAGUAGCUAAUAUGUCGAUGCUUCAAGUGAAGGUGGAAACACACAUGUAGACCGUAGAUCAAUAAAUACAUGGACACCAAAUGAUGUUGUGCUCAUCAGUGCAUUGCUAAACACGAGCAAGGAUCCAAUAUUUUCAAAUCAGUAAAAAGGUGAAACCUUCUAGACACGGAUUGCAAAGUAUUUUGCAACAAGUUCGAAGGUUGCAGGUCGAGCACAUAGAGAGGCAAGUCAUUGUAAGCAGAGGUGGGGAAGAUAAAUGAUAUAGUCUUUAAAUUUGUUGGAUGCUAUGAGGCUGCCACAAAAGAGAAAUCAAGUGGCCAAAAUGAGGAUGAUGUAAUGAAGCUAGCAAACCAAAUCUACUUCAAUGAUCACAAGGUGAAGUUCACCCUGGAGCAUGCUUGGCGAGAUCUUAGAUAUGAUCAUAAAUGGCAUGCUUCUUCAUAAACUAAAGGGACUAGAACCACAAAAAUAAGAAAAUGCGAGGACGGUUCUGCAUAGUCCUCAAGCUCGCUUCCACAAAUCCAUGGAGCGGAUGAAUCUAUGAAUCGUCCCCCUGGUGUUAAGGCUUCGAAGGGAAAAUUAAAAAAGAAUGUUAACAAUACAUGCACCGUUGAGGGAGAAGGGAAGACUUUCUCAUAGUUUCAAAUGAUGGAGGUUCAGAGGCUGCUUGAGCUAAAGCAACAAGAUUGUGCUUUGGAAGAGAAGAAUUUUUCUUUAAAAUAGAAGCACAAUAACCAUAUCAUACUUGAAAACCUACUUACAAAAAUGGAUCAACUUAGUGAAACAGAAAUUGCUUUGAAAGACAAACUUAUUAAUGAUUUGUUGUCAAGCAAUUCAGUUUCAGAGUUUUUGUUCUUUGAGAUUAUGUUAUAUCAGUUUAUGUAACAUUUGAAUGCUUUUUCUGUAUGAGUAACAUAUGUUUCUUUUGUAUAAGUAAUA